rnacentral:piRNA from 1 species
UCACAGAUUCUCCAGAAGUCU